ACUCUCCCAGACGACUCUCAUUCUAUCUGUAUAUAUUUUUGCCCCAAACCCUCUCUAUCUCUCUCUCUCUCUCUCUCUCUCUCUAUGUGCGAGCUCUCGAGCUCUCUUCGAGCAUUGCCUUGAUCGAUCACGCGAUUUCGCAUGGCCUCACAAUGUAUGUCAUUCACUUUCUUUCCCAAUCGAUCAAUUUUUUUCUGUUUCUCGAUCAUUUUUUUCCAAAAGCUUCGAAUUCAUCAUUUCAUUUGAAGUUAGGGUUUGGUGAGAGCCAUGGAAAUGUAGACCACGAAGCCAAAUGCAUUCUCAAUCAAUUGAUCUCAAACCCUCACUGAUCUCUAUACGUUCUUCUGUAUCGAACGAUUCGAUGAGUUUGAAACUCGUCAUACUUCAUAUUUUUUCUUGUGUGUGUGUUUACUGGAUCAAUUAAAGUUUGUAUUGAUAAUUUGAUUUUUUUGGAGGUCUGGCAAAUCACUAGACAAGUCCAUUUCAACGCUUCAGAUGGAGCUGGCUGCUAUUCGAAGUUCUGAAGAGAUGUGAAGAUCUGAUGAGUUCACUCACAUCUCUAAAUUGACUCAUGAAGGCUUGCCAAGGAAAAAGGCCUUCAUAGUUAUUGGAAAUAAUACUGCUUUUAGUAGUAGGAAGAGGCGCGAUUUGGUUAGACAAACUUGGAUGCCUCAAGGAGAGAGACUUCUUCAAUUGGAACAAGAGAAGGGAAUUAAUGUCCGGUUCAUGAUCGGCCAUAGGGGCAAAAUGGCUUCUUGUUGUGUUAUUUGCAGCAAGUGAAGAUGGUGAUGAUGAUGAUAAUUUGGUGACAGAGACUUGAGAUGCCGACACCAUGGUGUCUGAUAAACAAGAAAGCUAAUUGUUACAACUAAGUGAUAAGUGUUGCAUUGCCAACAGUUGUGAAGGAUGGUGAUCAUGAUCAUCUCUGGGCACUAUUGGAUCCCAAAACUUGUACUUGGACAGUUCUUUCAUAGUGUAGAUCAUGUGAUUUAAAACUCUGGAUAAAUGCAUAAUCAUAUGGGAAAAGUUUUCCAUCUUUCAUAGUGUAGAUCAUGUUGAUAAAUGAAUCUUAUGAUUUGGAUACUUUUUUUGAUUUGUAUGUUUGAGGUUGUUAUCAACUUGAUAUGAUAGAAGUUGAGAAUAAAAGUUAGUAUUCAGGUUGUUUGGUGUAUGGAUAUUAGAUUUUUUUGCUUACUUCAUAGUUACUGCCUCU